AUUUCCGUAGGUGAACCUGCGGAGGGUUCAUUACACAAAUAUGAAGGCGGGCUGGAACCUCUCGGGGUUACAGCCUUGCUGAAUUAUUCACCCUUGUCUUUUGCGUACUUCUUGUUUCCUUGGUGGGUUCGCCCACCACUAGGACAAACAUAAACCUUUUGUAAUUGCAAUCAGCGUCAGUAACAAAUUAAUAAUUACAACUUUCAACAACGGAUCUCUUGGUUCUGGCAUCGAUGAAGAACGCAGCGAAAUGCGAUAAGUAGUGUGAAUUGCAGAAUUCAGUGAAUCAUCGAAUCUUUGAACGCACAUUGCGCCCUUUGGUAUUCCAAAGGGCAUGCCUGUUCGAGCGUCAUUUGUACCCUCAAGCUUUGCUUGGUGUUGGGCGUCUUGUCUCUAGCUUUGCUGGAGACUCGCCUUAAAGUAAUUGGCAGCCGGCCUACUGGUUUCGGAGCGCAGCACAAGUCGCACUCUCUAUCAGCAAAGGUCUAGCAUCCAUUAAGCCUUUUUUUCAACUUUUGACCUCGGAUCAGGUAGGGAUACCCGCUGAACUUAAGCAUA
rnacentral:rRNA from 1 species